UAGCCGUAAACGAUACUCGCUAGGUGUCGGCCACGGUGCGACCGUUGUCGGUGCCGUAGGGAAGCCGUGAAGCGAACCACCUGGGAAGUACGGCCGCAAGGCUGAAACUUAAAGGAAUUGGCGGGGGAGCACCACAACGGGUGGAGCUUGCGGUUUAAUUGGAUUCAACGCCGGAAAUCUUACCGGGACCGACAGCAACAUGAAGGCCAGGCUGAAGACUUUGCCGGAUUAGCUGAGAGGAGGUGCAUGGCGUAGUCGUGU
rnacentral:rRNA from 1 species